rnacentral:rRNA from 1 species
UGGGGAAUAUUGCACAAUGGGGGAAACCCUGAUGCAGCGACGCCGCGUGAGCAAAGAAGGUUUUCGAAUCGUAAAGCUCUGUCCUAUGAGAAGAUAAUGACGGUAUCAUAGGAGGAAGCCACGGCUAACUACGUGCCAGCAGCCGCGGUAAUACGUAGGUGGCAAGCGUUGUCCGGAAUUAUUGGGCGUAAAGCGCGCGCAGGUGGUUUAGAAAGUCUGAUGUGAAAGCCCACGGCUCAACCGUGGAGGGUCAUUGGAAACUAAUAAACUUGAGUGCAGGAGAGAAAAGUGGAAUUCCUAGUGUAGCGGUGAAAUGCGUAGAGAUUAGGAGGAACACCGGUGGCGAAAGCGGCUUUUUGGCCUGCAACUGACACUGAGGCGCGAAAGCGUGGGGAGCAAACAGG